rnacentral:tRNA from 1 species
ACCGGGCUGGCUCAGUUGGAAGAGCGUGUGACUUUUGAUCUCAGGUCAUGGGUUCAACCCCUACGUUGGGUG